rnacentral:rRNA from 1 species
UACGUAGGCAGCGAGCGUUGUUCGGAAUUACUGGGCGUAAAGGGCGCGUAGGCGGACAGUUUAGUCAGAGGUGAAAGCCCAGGGCUCAACCUUGGAAUUGCCUUUGAUACUGGCUGUCUUGAGUUCGGGAGAGGUGAGUGGAAUGCCGAGUGUAGAGGUGAAAUUCGUAGAUAUUCGGCGGAACACCAGUGGCGAAGGCGACUCACUGGCCCGAUACUGACGCUGAGGCGCGAAAGCUAGGGGAGCAAACAGG